UACGUAGGGGGCAAGCGUUAUCCGGAUUUACUGGGUGUAAAGGGGGCGCAGACGGCAAUGCAAGCCAGGAGUGAAAGCCCGGGGCCCAACCCCGGGACUGCUCUUGGAACUGCAUGGCUGGAGUACAGGAGGGGCAGGCGGAAUUCCUAGUGUAGCGGUAAAAUGCGUAGAUAUAUGGAGGAACACCGGUGGCGAAAGCGGCUCUCUGGCCUGUAACUGACACUGAGGCUCGAAAGCGUGGGGAGCAAACAGG
rnacentral:rRNA from 1 species